UGCCAGCCGCCGCGGUAAUACGUGGGGUGCAAACGUUGCUCGGAAUCAUUGGGCGUAAAGCGCACGUAGGCGGUCUUUUAAGUCGGAUGUGAAAGCCCUGGGCUCAACCCAGGAAGUGCAUCCGAAACUGACUGACUAGAAUCUCAAAGAGGGCUGCGGAAUUCCCGGUGUAGAGGUGAAAUUCGUAGAUAUCGGGAGGAAUACCGGUGGCGAAGGCGACCACCUGGCCAAAUACUGACGCUGAUGAACGAAAGCUAGGGUAUCAAACGGGAUUAGAUA
rnacentral:rRNA from 1 species